UACGUAGGGGGCAAGCGUUGUCCGGAUUUAUUGGGCGUAAAGAGCGUGUAGGCGGCUAGGUAGGUCCGUUGUGAAAACUCGAGGCUCAACCUCGAGACGCCGAUGGAAACCAUCUAGCUAGAGUCCGGAAGAGGAGAGUGGAAUUCCUGGUGUAGCGGUGAAAUGCGCAGAUAUCAGGAGGAACACCCGUGGCGAAAGCGGCUCUCUGGGACGGUACUGACGCUGAGACGCGAAAGCGUGGGGAGCAAACAGG
rnacentral:rRNA from 1 species